rnacentral:piRNA from 1 species
UCGGUUUCUAAUCCAAUGCCCUUCCU